GGGGUAUAUGUCUUCGGAUAUAGAGACCGGCGCACGGGUGCGUAACGCGUAUGCAAUCUACCUUUCACAGAGGGAUAGCCCAGAGAAAUUUGGAUUAAUACCUCAUAGUAUUACGACUCGGCAUCGAGAUGUAAUUAAAGUCACAACGGUGAAAGAUGAGCAUGCGUCCCAUUAGCUAGUUGGUAAGGUAACGGCUUACCAAGGCAACGAUGGGUAGGGGUCCUGAGAGGGAGAUCCCCCACACUGGUACUGAGACACGGACCAGACUCCUACGGGAGGCAGCAGUGAGGAAUAUUGGUCAAUGGACGCAAGUCUGAACCAGCCAUGCCGCGUGCAGGAUGACGGUCCUAUGGAUUGUAAACUGCUUUUGUACGAGAAGAAACAACAUUACGUGUAAUGUCUUGACGGUAUCGUAAGAAUAAGGAUCGGCUAACUCCGUGCCAGCAGCCGCGGUAAUACGGAGGAUCCAAGCGUUAUCCGGAAUCAUUGGGUUUAAAGGGUCCGU
rnacentral:rRNA from 1 species